rnacentral:rRNA from 1 species
UACGAAGGGUGCAAACGUUGCUCGGAAUCAUUGGGCGUAAAGCGCACGUAGGCGGCGCUGCAAGUCGGACGUGAAAUCCCUCGGCUCAACCGAGGACGUGCAUCCGAAACUGCAGUGCUCGAGUAUGGAAGAGGGUCGCGGAAUUCUCGGUGUAGAGGUGAAAUUCGUAGAUAUCGGGAGGAACACCAGUGGCGAAGGCGGCGACCUGGGCCAAUACUGACGCUGAGGUGCGAAAGCGUGGGGAGCAAACAGG